AACGAACGCUGGCGGCAUGCCUAACACAUGCAAGUCGAACGAACCCUUCGGGGUUAGUGGCGCACGGGUGCGUAACGCGUGGGAACCUGCCUUUAGGUUCGGAAUAACAGUUAGAAAUGACUGCUAAUACCGGAUGAUGUCUUCGGACCAAAGAUUUAUCGCCUUUAGAUGGGCCCGCGUUGGAUUAGCUAGUUGGUGGGGUAAAGGCCUACCAAGGCGACGAUCCAUAGCUGGUCUGAGAGGAUGAUCAGCCACACUGGGACUGAGACACGGCCCAGACUCCUACGGGAGGCAGCAGUGGGGAAUAUUGGACAAUGGGCGCAAGCCUGAUCCAGCAAUGCCGCGUGAGUGAUGAAGGCCUUAGGGUUGUAAAGCUCUUUUACCAGGGAUGGAUAAUGACAGUACCUGGAGAAUAAGCUCCGGCUAACUCCGUGCCAGCAGCCGCGGUAAACGUAG
rnacentral:rRNA from 1 species